GUCGAGCGGUAGGCCCCUUCGGGGGUACCGAGCGGCGAACGGGUGAGUAACACGUGAGCAACCUACCCUCAACUUUGGGAUAAGCCUCGGAAACGGGGUCUAAUACCGGAUAUGACUUCCGCCUUCAUGGGUGGUGGUUGAAAGUUCUGGCGGUUGGGGAUGGGCUCGCGGCCUAUCAGCUUGUUGGUGGGGUAAUGGCCUACCAAGGCUUCGACGGGUAGCCGGCCUGAGAGGGCGACCGGCCACACUGGGACUGAGACACGGCCCAGACUCCUACGGGAGGCAGCAGUGGGGAAUAUUGCGCAAUGGACGAAAGUCUGACGCAGCAACGCCGCGUGAGGGAUGACGGCCUUCGGGUCGUAAACCUCUUUCAGCAGGGACGAAGCGAGAGUGACGGUACCUGCAGAAGAAGGACCGGCCAACUACGUGCCAGCAGCCGCGGUAAUACGUAGGGUCCGAGCGUUGUCCGGAAUUAUUGGGCGUAAAGGGCUCGUAGGCGGUUCGUCACGUCGGGAGUGAAAACUCGGAGCUUAACUCCGAGCCUGCUUCCGAUACGGGCAGACUAGAGGUAGGCAGGGGAGAGCGGAACUCCUGGUGUAGCGGUGGAAUGCGCAGAUAUCAGGAAGAACACCGGUGGCGAAGGCGGCUCUCUGGGCCUUACCUGACGCUGAGGAGCGAAAGCGUGUGUAGCGAACAGGAUUAGAUACCCUGGUAGUCCACGCCGUAAACGUUGGGCGCUAGGUGUGG
rnacentral:rRNA from 1 species